rnacentral:lncRNA from 1 species
AUGGACCCUGGAGGUGGUGUUUGGCUACAAAUGCGGCUACAUCUCCCUCAGCUUCAGGGGUGCUCCGAGCAAGUGGUGAGAAGAAACCGUUUGAUGACCCUCAUGAACAAAAAUCUCCAUUUACGUGCACUUCAUAAACUCUCACCUGCUUUACCAGGCUUCCUACCUCUGCCAAGAGAAAGUCAUUUUUUCUGGAAAAAGAUCAGCUGUGAGGUUAUACUGAGGUUUCUGGCUUCUGAUGUCCCAGAAGUGAGAAAAAGUAUCCCAGAUAACUGAGACCAAGCAGCCUAGUACAUGAAUGCAGUAAGUUGUUUUUCUGAUUCUUCCAGUAAAAAUUCUAUGAGAAAUUUCACAGUAACUGUAGCUGGGAAAGAGCUCCUCGUCAUUUCCCCAUGUAUCUUGAUCAGCACUCACCUCAGAUUAGUUUUCCUUCUCAUAGUCUGUCAGCAGCCCUGAGAUCAAGGAGAUUAAAACACCCUGGUAACUCAUUAAUGAGCUAGGGCUCUCUGCAACAGCUGGACCAGAAAUGGCCUGUAUUUGGCUUCAUCUUAGUUCUUUGCCAUCUCCCCUCUGCUCAUCAACAUGUGCACGUAUUUGGGACCCAGUAUAAGAAGACCCCUGAAUUCAGCUCUGAGCAACCAGUCUGCAAUGCAUAUGUCUAAUGCUCUGCUGGUGUGGAACCAGUAUGCUGGUAAUCCUGUUAGUGAUGGCAGAAGCUCCCUCUAGGAAAUUAUAACAAAUAGUCUUAAACAAUUCCUUUUGUUGACAACUUUAUCCAAGAAACCAUCUUCCCCGGAGACUUCACUCAACUUUUGACUAAUCCCCUCCUUCCCGCAGGAGCUCUUUUGUUGAAGGAGAUUGUAGGCAAACCCCAGGAAUGACAGGUCUCUGUAAGCCUUGGAUCAGCCUCUACAUUCUUUCAAUUGUCAGUCCCCAUCUGUCCUGUUUGUACAUCGAUCUGCUGGUCCAGGGAUCUCUCUAUUAAGUGACACAUGGCUGCAUUUAUUCUGCAAGUCCAGUGUCCAGACUCUGCUGUUACAUCUUCGUUGCCAAGUCAAUCUUUCUGACAUUGCUUUCUGAAAAACAAAAGGCAGGACAUCUGCACGCUUUUCUUCUACUGAAAGGUGAAUCUAAAAAAUAAGUCAUCCUGGACCAUACUCCGCCCUCAUUUUAUACACGCAAAGAUUUUGUUUCAUUUCAUCAAUACUGAGUUAUUUCAAAUGUCCUUGUUAUAAUGGAGGGCAGAAUCUGCCCCUGUUGCAAAGGAAUUCUGUUAGAAUAAAAAUACAUGGCCUAAGUCCUGAAUCA